UCCUCUGGCAGCUCUCCCAUAAACAAUUAAAUGCUCAACCUGGAAACGAUACAGAUUACCUCUACUCCUUGAUCAGAACUGGUCACACAGCCCCACCUAACCACAGAGAGACCAGGAGGUAGAUUCUCAGCCGAGGCCAGGAGGCGAAGAGCUGGAAAUGUUCGUAAUGUCUCUCAUGCUGCCACCAAGGUCAAUAUGCUUCUGCAAAUACUUCCAAACCUGCAGAGAAGCACCGGAAGGACAAUGCCCACUGAAGGUGCCAGUGUCUCCUUGAUGCCACUGUAGCCUGGUGUUCUGUCCUGAGCCCCCUGUGAUCCAGCCAAAGGUCCUGCUCCCUAAGCCCAGUGGGGCUGGAGGACAAUCACAGUGACAGAUGCAGUUUGGGACUUACUCAUCCCUCUCACUGACAUUGACCUUGAACCAGAGUCCUUGAGCCAAACUUGUGAGCCUUGCCUUUCUCCUUCCCUGGUCUGGUGGCUGUUAUGGUGCACUUUGGUACAAAUAAAACCUCUGCCAAUGCAGACACGCCCAGAAAUAUAAACAAGAAGCAUAGGGUGAGUGCAGUUUAGCUUCUCAAGCCAAAACUAUGGCCUCCUAGGAUAUAUAUUUAAAUUAAUUUUCUACAAAAAUUUAUUCACAGCAGGAUGCUUAUCAUUGAUAACUGGUAGAUUGGGCUGCCCCCUGGAUCUGCUGCUCAAAGCCUGAAUGAUCAUCUUCUGUCCUAUGAGAAAGAGCUUUCCCCACGCACUUCCCAUUUAGUUUGUACUUUUCUUCUCUUUCCAAGCCUAUGGAAUCCAGCAAGAUGUUGGAUUUCAGUCCUCAGCCCCUUCUGGCAAUCACAGCCUCUCACUACAGACAACACAACCAUGCCCCGUAAUAUUCAGCUCUAGUGCAUCUUGACUUCUCCCUUUUUCUAGGAGGCCCUAUCAUUAAAGUAAUUAUAAAUGUUUGCACCUAAUCUUCACUCUAACAGUUUUCGCUUUCACCACAGUGAGAAAAGGAUUGGCUGUAAUCAUAUCUGUGUCUUUGAUCCUAACCUGUCUCCAGGUGUGAUACCUCUCUUCCCUACCAAAAUGUCAAUCUAAAGUUAGUUAAUCAGUCAAUCAAUGAAAACAUAUUUGUUAGGUGUUUCUUGUGUGCCCUGCAUUGGCAGAAAAGAGACAAAGGAAAUGACCUUUUCGGUAACUCUUAUUUUAAACUCUUCAAACCCA